UAUCGAUUGACAAGCCUCGUUUUGAAACCGAUGUUUGGCCGACGAUCAUCAUAUUGAUCUCAGUCUUACGAGCUGUCUCCUGGUCCGGUGUAAGAUUUAUUUCGAAUUCUGCCGUUUUCGAGCGGUUAUCUGUGUGCAGGACAAGCCCCGAGAAGCGACUCCCGUCCGUUUGUUGAGGAGUAGAGCCCGUCCCCGUGGUUGCGUGCCCGGCUGGACGCAUGCGGCCCAUUGUCUCCGGCAGCGCGUGGUGCUAGCGGCGUGCUGCGACCAGCUUCGAUUCUGCAGGGCGGCUCGAAAAAACGGCUUCGCUUUCCUGCCCAGUGACAAAGGCUCUGACGACCCGCGGCACUUCUACCGUGUCCCCAAGAAGCCGGCCGUGCUGCGUGAGAAGUGGCUGGAGGCCAUCUGUAGAACUGAGGAG